CGAGUCAUUGUAGCAUACAAGGCAUACGGCUCAGUAACGCGUAGUCCACUUAACCUAUGGACGGGAAUAACCUCGGGAAACUGAGAAUAAUGCCCGAUAGAACAUUAUGCCUGGAAUGGUUUAUGUUCCAAAUGAUUUAUCGCCGUAGGAUGGGACUGCGGCCUAUCAGUUUGUUGGUGAGGUAAUGGCCCACCAAGACUAUUACAGGUACGGGCUCUGAGAGGAGUAGCCCGGAGAUGGGUACUGAGACACGGACCCAGGCCCUAUGGGGCGCAGCAGGCGAGAAAACUUUGCAAUGUGCGAAAGCACGACAAGGUUAAUCCGAGUGGUUUCUGCUAAAGAAACCUUUUGUCAGUCCUAGAAACACUGAUGAAUAAGGGGUGGGCAAGUUCUGGUGUCAGCCGCCGCGGUAAAACCAGCACCUCAAGUGGUCAGGAUGAUUAUUGGGCCUAAAGCAUCCGUAGCCGGCUCUGUAAGUUUUCGGUUAAAUCUGUACGCUCAACGUACAGGCUGCCGGGAAUACUGCAGAGCUAGGGAGUGGGAGAGGUAGACGGUACUCGGUAGGAAGGGGUAAAAUCCUUUGAUCUAUUGAUGACCACCUGUGGCGAAGGCGGUCUACCAGAACACGUCCGACGGUGAGGGAUGAAAGCUGGGGG
rnacentral:rRNA from 1 species